AAGCAACGCGAAGAACUUACCUAGGCCUUGACAUGCAGAGAACGUUUCCAGAGAUGGAUUGGUGGCCUUCGGGAACGUCUGACACAGGUGCUGCAUGGCUGUCGUCAGCUCGUGUCGUGAGACGUUGGGUUAAGUCCGUAACGAGCGCAACCCUUGUCCUUAGUUACCAGCACGUUAUGGUGGGCACUCUAAGGAGACUGCCGGUGACAAACCGGAGGAAGGUGGGGAUGACGUCAAGUCAUCAUGGCCCUUACGGCCUGGGCUACACACGUGCUACAAUGGUCGGUACAAAGGGUUGCCAAGCCGCGAGGUGGAGCUAAUCCCAUAAAACCGAUCGUAGUCCGGAUCGCAGUCUGCAACUCGACUGCGUGAAGUCGGAAUCGCUAGUAAUCGUGAAUCAGAAUGUCACGGUGAAUACGUUCCCGGGCCUU
rnacentral:rRNA from 1 species